CUUUCUGUUUUGAGGCUGUGGCAUCCCUAUUCAAUUCAAGACUAAUCUAUGGAGCAUGUAUUGUAUAUUUUGACACAAUGGGGCAUAAAGAUAUGAACUAAAUGAAGCUUCUGCCUCUAUGUAAUUUACAGUAUAGUAGGAAAUGAAGAUAUUUUUAAAAUGCAGGCUAAAUUGGUAGUAUGAAAGAAGUGCAAGUUGCUGUGGAUAGACCAAAAAAAAAAAAAAUGACAGGCAACUACUUCCUGCUGAGGAACUUUGAGGUGGGAACUGAAUCAGCUUCUGGGAGACAGCAGCAUUCCAAGGGAACACUUAAGGUGGGGCAGGAUUUUGGCAGCAGAGCUGUAUAAGAAAUGCAUUCUGGAGAAAGAGAGAGGCAAUGUGUGCAAAGAUAUUUAAAGAAAGUCAGGAUGUUUUCUGAUUAGAAAGUUACCAGGGUGGAUUAGAUAAAAUGGGGUGAUGUGCAGAAUGCAUAGAUUAGGAGAUGUCUUGAAUGUCUAUCCUAAAGGAGAAGAGGCUUAAGGACACCUGAAAUAGCCUCACUAGUUUGGAAAGCUCUGAGGAAGGUUUGCCAAGCUGAAUGUGAAUUCAGGAAAAUAACACUGGGACAGCUUGCUGCUGCCUGGCGAUUCAUUCCUUAUAAGAUGCUGCCUAAUAGCACCUUGUUCUUGGGUCAGGUCCAACUAUCUAGAGGCAAUGCCAACUUUGCUGAAUCUUGAAAUUCUCAGCUUUAAGCCAUCAGCAGAGUAUUUAUGUGUAUGUUUCCAGUUUCC
rnacentral:lncRNA from 1 species